rnacentral:rRNA from 1 species
UUUCCGGUGAUCCUGCCGGACCUGACUGCUAUCGGAUUGAUACUAAGUCCAUGCGAGUCAUUGUAGUAAUACAAGGCAGACGGCUCAGUAACGCGUAGUCAACCUACCCUAUGGACGGGGAUAACCUCGGGAAACUGAGAAUAAUACCCGAUAGAACAUUAUGCCUGGAAUGGUUUAUGUUUCAAAUAAUUUAUUGCCGUAGGAUGGGACUGCGGCCUAUCAGUUUGUUGGUGAGGUAAUGGCCCACCAAGACUAUUACAGGUACGGGCUCUGAGAGGAGUAGCCCGGAGAUGGGUACUGAGACACGGACCCAGGCCCUAUGGGGCGCAGCAGGCGAGAAAACUUUGCAAUGUGCGAAAGCACGACAAGGUUAAUCCGAGUGGUUUCUGCUAAAGGAACCUUUUGUCAGUCCUAGAAACACUGAUGAAUAAGGGGUGGGCAAGUUCUGGUGUCAGCCGCCGCGGUAAAACCAGCACCUCAAGUGGUCAGGAUGAUUAUUGGGCCUAAAGCAUCCGUAGCCUGCUUUGUUAGUUUUCGGUUAAAUCCAUACGCUCAACGUAUGGGCUGCCGGGAAUACUGCAAAGCUAGGGAGUGGGAGAGGUAGACGGUACUCGGUAGGAAGGGGUAAAAUCCUUUGAUCUAUUGAUGACCACCUGUGGCGAAGGCGGUCUACCAGAACACGUCCGACGGUGAGGGAUGAAAGCUGGGGGAGCAAACCGGAUUAGAUACCCGGGUAGUCCCAGCUGUAAACUAUGCAAACUCAGUGAUGCAUUGGCUUGAUGCCAAUGCAGUGCUGCAGGGAAGCCGUUAAGUUUGCCGCCUGGGAAGUACGUACGCAAGUAUGAAACUUAAAGGAAUUGGCGGGGGAGCACCACAAGGGGUGAAGCCUGCGGUUCAAUUGGAUUCAACGCCGGG